GUCUAUGGCCAUACUAUCCUUAACACACCCGACGUCGUCUGAUCUUGGAAGCUAAGCAGGGUUGGGCCUGGUUAGUACUUGAAUGGGAGACAUUUACC
rnacentral:rRNA from 10 species